AUAAAUAAAAUGAAUAGAAAAGAUAAGAAGAAGAUUCCAUUUUUAUCAUAUUUUAACAAAUCCUCACUUGCACUCACAUAACAAGUGGACAAAAUUCCUUUACCUUUUUAUUUUUGAAUUGAUUCUCCAUUUUAGAGGGACGAUCUUGUAAUUUUAGAGUAGCCCUUUUCAUUGUUGGGUGGGUACCACACUAUUUCUUCACACAUUUUCCUUUGUUCUUGCUACCCAUGGUUCAUUAAAGGAGGAGAAACAGAGAGAAAGAGAACCCGAACAGAUUCCUUCUUUUUUUGGGCGAAGAGCUUUUUCGGCUUCUGCUUUACUUUCUUUUUCACAAGAAUAGACCCACAAUUUUUUUCUCCAUGGUUGCUACUUAGCCACCAUCCGUACACCACCUAAAUUCCAUGGAAAUAGUACCCUUUUACACCUGAAACCAAGCCCGAAACCAACUAAGAACCAGUCCAAACAGCCACCAUAUUCUCCUUCCGAAGCCACCUCUAAACCUUCCUUAAAAUCGCCCAAAUAUCGCCAAAAACCAGCUGGAAUUUCCAGUUCAAAAAAUGCAACAACACAGCCUCGAGAACGCUGUAAAAUCAGCUCCAAAAACGUGAAACAACAUAGCUCAAAUUCAGCUGUAAAUCAGUCCAAAAACCAACGCCAAUCAUACCUUUAACCACCACAAAGAGAGUCGAGUUUGAGUUUGCCGUCACUGUUUUCCGAUCGUGGUCGUGGGUGUUAGGUCCGUUUGUUGAGUUGCAAAAACUUUAAAGUUGGGACGUAAUCAAUAAAGGUCCAAUUCUUACUUGAUAUUCCUCUAAGUUUCAAGUUCGAUUUUGAUAAUAUGAUUCUGACGAUGCUUCCGAUGAGUGAUAUUUAGUUUAAUUGAUAUUUGAUUAUUGUAAUUCAAUGUUUUGCCUUGAUGAAUAUUCUGAAAUCUUGUGGUUUAAUUUAAUUUAAUUUGAUUUGGAUGCCACCUAGUUAAAGUGCUCGUAGACUUACUGGUUAAUCUAUAUAUCUUGCUUUGUUUAGCAUAAUUGAUCCUUCAUUGGUUGAUUGUUGGAAGAGAAGGAUGGAAACUUUUGGUGAAAAUAUAGUAAUUUUAAGUCUUUUGUUAAUUUGUUUAAAGAUUCAUGCAUUAUUUUACUAAUGAAUUUGUAGUUUUUAAAUUGUAGCUACUGACUUGUGUGAAGGAAAAUCGUUUUUAGCUAUUAGGAAUAUUUUAAGCACAUAAAUUAUUAGUUGGGCCGUUGGAUGCCAAUUAUAAGUAUAAAAAUCAGAUUUUUCUUUUUACCUUAAGAAUGUCUGCUUGGUUUUAAAAGCAUAUGGGCCAGACAAGCUUAAUCUGCUAAGCCCAACGAUUUUAGCCUAGUUCCAAAGAUAGAUUAGUAGGUUGUAAACAUCUCUUAGUGUGAAUAACUUAUCAAUAUUGAAUAGCUAAAAUAUUUCUUGACUUCCAAAUAAUUUCCUCUCCAUGAGUCAUGAUAUCACAUUAAUCUCAAACAAGCUCUAGGAAAAUUAAUCGACUUGUGAAUAUUCCUAGAAUGCUUUAGGCAUGUAUUUAAUUUACUAUCGUGAUUAUGUAUACGUUCGCGUAACAUGAUUAUUGAUCCUAAAAAUAAAUCAAGGUAUGCAUUCGCGCGACUUUGACCGAAUAAUCUUAACAAUUAAUAAAGCGUGAUGAAUUGUGUGUACGCGUGACAUAAUUUUAGCGCACUGAACAAAAUAGAUUUACGCACAUGUAAUCGGUUUCAAAGAUAAAUCCAUAAUGCCAUAAUUAAAAGCGGUAAAAGGCAAAAUGUACAUAAGUUCUAAAAAUGAGUAAUUAAAUAAUUAAUUAAGCCAGGUAUGAUUAAAAGCAACCGUGUUAAAACCACGGAAUCCGGGAGUGCCUCAUACCUUCUCCCAGGUUAACAGAAUUUCUUACUUUGUCUUUUGGUUUCGCGGACUUAAAACAUAGUCAAUUUUCUCGAUUUGGAAUUUUAAAAUAAACCGGUGACUUGGGACACCAUAAUAAUUAUCCCAAGUGGCGACUCUAAUUAAAUAAAUAAUCUCAUUUGGACUAAUGUCACUUAAAUUGGAAAAACUCCCCUAUUCCUCGGAAAAAAGGAGGUGUGACAGUAUAUACUUGAUAGAUGAUAUAGAAGGUAUGAUGACUAGUGCUGCUAAUAUUUAAGACCUUGAAAUCAACUAAAUUUUAAUUAAUAAUUGCUUCCUUAUUUGAGAUCACAACGUCCAACAAAAUACUUGUUGAUUCGUUUGGAUACUAAGGUAUUAAAAGUGAUUUGAACCACUUUCUUAUUUGUCCUUAUUGAAAUUAAUAAUUAAGUUUUUAUAAACAGUUAUAAUGCAAAAUUCUACCNNNNNNNNNNNNNNNNNNNNNNNNNAACUCGACCAAAAUUAUCGAAGUCAUUAAGUAGAGUUUCUUUAUAUAUAUAUAUAUAUAAUUUUUUGUAAGGAGUAUGAGUUCUAACUUUUCAAUAAUUGCUAAUGGAAGUUCACCUUCAGCUGUUGCCUUUUGCUUUCUCAUAACUAAUAUUUGUUUAUAUGAAUCUAUUUUGUCAUCUAUCAUAAUAUAUUGUUAAACUCUGUUUAUUUUCAACCUUUGUAUAUGUUUAAAUUCCUUCGCCUGUUAAGUAUCGUGCUUCUAGAUGUUUAUUGGGAUUUCUUAAAUAAAAUUUUAUAUUGGAUAAAAUUAUAAUUUAAGUUAAUUUUUUUAAUAUUUAAUACUUUAAAAUCAACUACUACGAUUUACUUAUUAAAUUAUUCCUUAUUUGAACUAAGUAAGAAGUCCUAAACAUAACCUUUUCAAUUAAUAAAAGAAUGUUACUAUAUUAAUAUAUAUAUUACGUUUUCUCCAUACACACGUUAGGUUUUGUCUAUUUCUUUUUUUUUUUCCAUUAGUUUUAAUUAAUUAUCUUAUACUAAAUUAGAUUAGAAUAAAUUUAUUAGUGGUGAAUAUCUAAACAAUUAUAAGAAGCAAAUAUUAGAUAUAUGAUAAUUUCCAUUAAUAUUAGGAUAUGAAAAUUAAUUUUUAAAUACUGAAUAUGCUAAUAUCUUAAUUCUAUAUUAUUUAAUAAUCUUAGUGAAAAAUAUUUAUAAAGAAAAACUAAGUAGAAAGCUAUAAUGAAAGUCGUACUUCUCCUGUUCUCUUUCUUAAUUAAAAAUUUAUAAUCGGUAAUAGAAUUAAAACCAAUUAAUUUUAUAAAAUUUAAUUAUCUUAGGAAAAAGAAAAAAGAAAAUAAAGAAAAACUUUUUAUGGAAAAGUAUAUUGAUCCUUAGGUUACAUAAUAGUAUGUAUAUUGCCUUUUAAUCAAAUCUAUAAAUUUUAUGUACUAUAAUUUAAAUACACAUUCUAAUAAAUUUUAUGAUUAGAUAUAAAUUAUUUUACGGAAAAGGCUCAAAAAUGCCCUUAACCUAUCAGAAAUGGCUCAAGAACGCCCCUCAUUCACCUUUUGGCUCACAAACGCCACUAACAUUUUCUUUGGUAUCAAAAUUGCGCCCUUGAACUAAUGUUUGACUUAUAGGAUGUGUGGGGCUUUUUUAAAAAAAAUUCACGUAGCACUGUCCAAUUGGUUAACAUUGAGGAAUAAAAUUAAUAGACCCAACACAUAAACUCGACCCACAUAUUCUGAUAACCAUAUUUUCCUCCUAAUAGUUCUUGAAAAGUGCCAGUAAGAGUUCUUCCUAUGAAAAUCAGUAACAGUUGCUAUUAGGCAAUUAGCAUAAAAUUUUAUGGGUAGAAGCGAGGGACAACAACUUAAGGUUAAAAGAUAUUUGCUUUAUGAUGGCCAUUCUGAAUCAUCCCAUCUUUGGUGUUGGAGCAGCUCAAUUUCUUAUAUAGAUCAAGCAACGCCUUCUACUUCGCUGACAUUGAAUGCACAAGUAAAGCAUCUCAGAUUAUCAUACUAGCUAAUUAAUUAAAGAAGCAUAAAAAAAGAAGAAACAUACUGCACUUGUUUUACAGAGCUUAUGCUUCAAAUUCUAUUCUGGAUAAUAGACUUUCUUUUGUAAGAGAUGAUAAUUAACGAGGUCGAUCUAUUUUUUUCCGCUUUUUGAGAAAGAUCACUUAAAACUUUUUUCAUUAUCAUAUAAGGUUCACUUGGAUAUGAUUCUUGCUAAUUUGGUUUAAUUCAUAUCAGCCAUAGUGAUGUCUUUCUAAUGAAGAAGAAAGGAAGAUGAAGAUGAAGAAAGGAUAUUGGAUUUAUGGGUAUCAGAAUAUGUGGGUCGGAUUUGUGGGUUGGGUCUAAUUAAUUUUAUUCCUCAAUGUUAAUGAAUUGGACAGUGCCACCUGAAUUUUAAAAAAGCCCCACACAUCCAAUAAGCCAAACGUUAGUUCAAGAAGUAAUUUUGAUACUAAAGAAACGUUAGUGGCAUUUUUGGACCAAAACGUUGAUGAGGGGCAAUUUUGAGUCAUUUCUGAGAGGUUAAGGGCAUUGUUGAGACUUUUUCAAUUAUUUUAAUGUAACAAUCUGGCUAGUCGUUUUGAGAGUUGUAACCCCAUUCCCCAAUUUACUGCUCAUUUUAUACUUUAUAAUUGCUAUGUGAAUUUUCGGGGUAGUUGGUUCGGGUCCGGAGAGAUUUCAGAAUUAAUUGAGACACUUAGUCUCAAGGUUGAACGCUUAAGUUAAAAUACUUGACUGGAUAUUGACUUGUGUGCAAACAACUCCGAAAUAGAGUUUUUAUGGUUCCGUUAGCUCCGUUAGGUAAUUUUGGACUUAGAAGUGUGUCCGGAUUAUGAUUUGGAGGUCCGUAGUUGAAUUAGGCUUGAAAUGGCGAAAGUUGGAAAUUUGGAAGUUUGACCGAGAGUGGAUCUUGUGGUUACCGAGCUCGGAUUGGGGUUCCGGGAGUUGGAAUAGGUCCAUGGUAUCAUUUGUGACUUGUGUGCAAAAUUUGAGGUCAAUCAGACAUAAUUUGAUAGGUUUCGACAUCGUUUGUAGAAGUUGGGAUUCCUUACUUUCAAUAGGCUUGAAUUUGGGUGUGAUUUGUGAUUUUAGCUUUGUUUGAUGUGAUUUGAAGGCUCGAUUAAGUUCAUAGGAUGUUUUAGGACUUGUUGGUAUAUUUGGUUGAGGUCCCGGGGGCCUCGGGUGGAGUUCGGGUGAUUUUCGGCUCAAGUUUGGAGUUAAUAGAGGUGUUGUAGCUGAAGCUCUAUGGUGUAAUUGCACCUGCGGAGCUUUGGUUGCAGGUGCGAGCUCGCAUGUGUGGGCUGGGAAGCGCAAAAACGACCUAGGAUGGAGGUGUGCAGUGGUCGCAGGUGCGAGGCAAUUUCCGCACCUGCGUGAUCGCAAAUGCGACAUCAUGAGCGCAUAAGUGGAGUUGGCCAGUGGGGGAGGUUGCGCAAGUACGAUGGAAAUUCCGCAUUUGCGAUUGCACAGGUGCGGAGGCAGGACCACAUAAGCGAAGGGAGCCUUAGGGCAUGUCCGCAGAAGCGGAACCGCAGGUGCGGUUAAGUGACUCGCAAAAGCGAAAAGGCUGAGCAAUGUAUUAAAAAUGAGGGUUCCGAGAUUUUCUUCAUUUUUGAACAUUCCAAGCUCGGGAUUAGGCUAUUUUUGAGAGAAUUUUCGAGGGGUUUCUUGUGAGUCACUUAUGAUUAAAUUUACUCAAUAUUUAUAUUUCCCCAUCGAUUUUUCCACCUAAAUUAUGUGGUUUUGAGGUGUAAUUUUAGGAGUUGAAGGUAGAGAUUUGGAGAGUUUAAAUUAGGGAUUUGGGUGUCGAUUUGGUGUUGGAGUUUGGUAAAUUUGGUAUGGUUGGACUCGUGGUUGAAUGGGCUUUCGGAUUUUGUGACUUUUAUUAGAUUCCAAGACAUGGUCCCGGGGGCUGACUUUUGAGUUGAUUUUUGACUUUUGAUUAAGAACUUAGUAUUUUCUUAUGGAAUUGAUUCCUUUAGCUCGUGUUGAUUGUAUCGAACUAUUUGUGAUUAGAUUCGAGGCAUUUGGAGGCCGUUUCGCGAGGCAAGGGCUUGUCGGAGUAGGGAUUUGCAUAGCUUGAGGUAAGUAACAUUUCUAAACUUGGUUAUGAGGGUAUGAAAUCCUGAAUUACGUGUUAUGCGAUUGAUAUUGAGGUAACACGCAUGCUAGGUGACGGGCAUGUGGGUGUGCAUCGUGUAAAAUGUGAAUUUGUCAAUUUCAUGGAAUUAUGUAGCUACCUUAACUGAACACUUUUACCGUACUCCAUGCGUUAGAGCACUUGAGCUGUAAUUUAUGCUAGAAAUUAUUUUUAGGCUAUAUGCUGGUACUAUUGGGACCAACAAUAAUCGUUCCUUGCUGUUGAGUUAAUUGUUUAAUUGCAGUCAUGUACUCAAUCGUAUUCAUGAUUCAUAUCAUAUCUCAGUCUCUGUUUUGUACAUUGUUACAUCUCGUAUUAUUGAUUAGGGAUGCUUAGUAUGAGCGUUGUGAGCCCGAGAGACUGGAGAGAUUAAUGACUGAGUGAGGACGAGGGACUGAUUGUGAGCGAUAAUUUAGGGAUCGAGCUGCACGCCGCAACAUAUUUUUAUUUACUUAUGGCUGGAUCUGGCUUAUUAUAGCGCUUGGGCUGAAGGAGCCCCUCCGAAGUGUGCAUCCCCACAGUGAGCGUAGUUGAUACUAUAUUUGGGAUAGAUUUUUCUAGGCAUGGAGUUGCCCUAUAUAUUUAUAUUUGGGAUGGAGUUCCCUGGGUAUGGAGUUGCCCUAUACAUUUAUAUUGAGUAAUGGAUCUUCCUUGGGCUAGACCUGCCCCGUACUGUAUUGAGUGAUUGAGUACUCUAAGAGUCUGAGUACGCGAGGCUUCCAUUGUAGUGUACUACACACAACAUGUACAGUGGCAUGCAGAUAUAGAAAUGUCAUAUCCCUCAUAUUAUUCAGAGUUGAUCUAUUUUACCUGUAUUGAGUUUAUCUCUAGAACUUGAAAACAUGCAUGCAUUUCUGUACUGUUAAUUCUAUAUUGAACUGUUCCUGCUUAGCUCGUCACUACUUUCAGUCCAAUAGUUAGUCUUGUUACUUACUGAGUUGGUUGUACUCACGCUACAUCCUGCACCUCGUGUGCAGAUCCAGGUGCUUCCGGUCACGGCGGUUGCUGAGUUGCGGAGUCUGGACCUUCGGAGACCAUCGAGGUUGCUGUUUGGCGUUCGCAAACCUUGACUCUCAUCCCUUAUCUUUCAUUUUAUUUAUUUUAGUUUUAUUUUCUAGACGGUGUACCAGACUAUAUCUUUAUGUAGAUGCUCAUGUACUUAGUGACACCCUAGUUUUGGGAACUUUCGUAUUGAGUUAUUGACUUUCUAUCC
rnacentral:lncRNA from 1 species